GACGAACGCUGGCGGCGUGCUUAACACAUGCAAGUCGAACGGUAAGGCCUUUCGGGGUACACGAGUGGCGAACGGGUGAGUAACACGUGGGUGAUCUGCCCUGCACUUCGGGAUAAGCCUGGGAAACUGGGUCUAAUACCGGAUAUGACUAUGGACUUCACGGUUUGUGGUGGAAAGCUUUUGCGGUGUGGGAUGGGCCCGCGGCCUAUCAGCCUGUUGGUGGGGUAAUGGCCUACCAAGGCGACGACGGGUAGCCGGCCUGAGAGGGUGACCGGCCACACUGGGACUGAGAUACGGCCCAGACUCCUACGGGAGGCAGCAGUGGGGAAUAUUGCACAAUGGGCGCAAGCCUGAUGCAGCGACGCCGCGUGAGGGAUGACGGCCUCGGUUGUAACGUACUUCUAGUAGGACGGAAGACGACAGUGACGUACCGUACUAGAAGAAGGACCGGACCGAACCUACGUACGCCAG
rnacentral:rRNA from 1 species